ACGGGGGGUGCUAGCGUUGUUCGGAAUCAUUGGGCGUAAAGAGCGUGUAGGCGGCUGGAUAAGUCAGAUGUGAAAGCCCUGGGCUUAACCCAGGAAGUGCAUUUGAAACUGUUCAGCUUGAGUAAGGGAGAGGAAAGUGGAAUUCCUGGUGUAGAGGUCUUAUUCGUAGAUAUCGGGAGGAACACCGGGGGCGAAGGCGCCCUUCUGGCCAUAAACUGACGCUGAGACGCGAAAGCGUCGGUAGCGUACAG
rnacentral:rRNA from 1 species